GCGCAUAUGGCGUAAUUGGUAGCCGCGUUAGACUUAGGAUCUAAUGUCUGCGGACGUGGGGGUUCGAGUCCCCCUAUGCGCACGA
rnacentral:tRNA from 4 species